CCUACGGGAGGCAGCAGUAGGGAAUAUUGGGCAAUGGAGGCAACUCUGACCCAGCCAUGCCGCGUGCAGGAUGAAGGCGUUAUGCGUUGUAAACUGCUUUUAUAUAGGAAGAAAUAGACCUUGCGAGGUAAGUUGACGGUACUAUAUGAAUAAGCACCGGCUAACUCCGUGCCAGCAGCCGCGGCAAUACGGAGGGUGCAAGCGUUGUCCGGAUUUAUUGGGUUUAAAGGGUGCGUAGGCGGUUUAUUAAGUCAGUGGUGAAAGACGGUCGCUCAACGAUUGCAGUGCCAUUGAUACUGGUAGACUUGAGUGUGAUUGAGGUAGCUGGAAUGGAUAGUGUAGCGGUGAAAUGCAUAGAUAUUAUCCAGAACACCAAUUGCGUAGGCAAGUUACUAAGUCACAACUGACGCUGAGGCACGAAAGUGUGGGUAUCAAACAGGAUUAGAUACCCUGGUAGUCCACACUGUAAACGAUGAUAACUAACUGUUGGCUUUUGGGUCAGUGGUACAGAGAAAUCGUUAAGUUAUCCACCUGGGGAGUACGCCGGCAACGGUGAAACGUCAAAUGAAUUGACGG
rnacentral:rRNA from 1 species